rnacentral:rRNA from 1 species
GAUGAACGCUGGCGGCGUGCCUAACACAUGCAAGUCGAGCGAUUCUCUUCGGAGAAGAGCGGCGGACGGGUGAGUAACGCGUGGGUAACCUGCCCUGUACACACGGAUAACAUACCGAAAGGUAUGCUAAUACGAGAUAAUAUGCUUUUAUCGCAUGGUAGAAGUAUCAAAGCUUUUGCGGUACAGGAUGGACCCGCGUCUGAUUAGCUCGUUGGUAAGGUAACGGCUUACCAAGGCGACGAUCAGUAGCCGACCUGAGAGGGUGAUCGGCCACAUUGGAACUGGGACACGGUCCAAACUCCUACGGGAGGCAGCAGUGGGGAAUAUUGCACAAUGGGCGAAAGCCUGAUGCAGCAACGCCGCGUGAGCGAUGGAGGCCUUCGGGUCGUAAAGCUCUGUCCUCAAGGAAGAUAAUGACGGUACUUGAGGAGGAAGCCCCGGCUAACUACGUGCCAGCAGCCGCAGUAA